rnacentral:rRNA from 1 species
AGAGUUUGAUCAUGGCUCAGGACGAACGCUGGCGGCGCGCUUAACACAUGCAAGUCGCACGGUGAACGGGGCUUCGGCCCCGGGAUCAGUGGCGAACGGGUGCGUAACACGUGGGCAACCUGCCCCUCACUCUGGGAUAACCCCGGGAAACCGGAGCUAAUACCGGAUACUCCGACCGAGCCGCAUGGUUCGGCCGGGAAAGGUCCGCCGGUGAGGGAUGGGCCCGCGGCCUAUCAGCUUGUUGGUGAGGUAACGGCUCACCAAGGCGACGACGGGUAGCUGGUCUGAGAGGACGACCAGCCACACUGGGACUGAGAUACGGCCCAGACUCCUACGGGAGGCAGCAGUGGGGGGUCUUGCGCAAUGGGCGAAAGCCUGACGCAGCGACGCCGCGUGAGGGACGAAGGCCCUCGGGUUGUAAACCUCUUUCGGCAGGGACGAAGCGAUAGUGACGG